UCCCUGUUAAUCCCCCCUCUGCUACUAACAAGGUGUGGCGCAUCACUCUAACCAAAACUACAGGUGUCAGAGUAGUGAUACACUGUAACGAGGUGGAGGUGCUCAACACAGUGCUCUCUCAAUCAACGUGUAGUUGGAAAAGUUGGAGCAGGAUCUGGAACACGGAGGUAGCAAAGAUAGUGUUCCUUUCCUCCGACACAGCAUCUGAUUACUACGGAACACAAUCACAAUUACCAGAAGAAGAUACAAGUGAAGAAGAAAAUGAAAGUGAACAGGGAGACAACCAGAACUACUCUGAUGCAGCAGCCCUGAAAGUCAGCUUAAUUUUCCUCGUCGUUCUCCUGUUUGCUGUUGAUAUGAGAAUCUAAACUUGUUUGUUGUUGUGGACUGGAAUGGUUCUACGGUACAAAACAAUAUAUUAACAUGGUGUUUUAUCGGGAUGUGAUAGAAAAAAUAACAACUUAAAAACCCGGACGAAUCUAUAAAUUUAUAACCUAUAAUUAAACUUUUGAUAUUUAACAUUUUAAUAUUUUAGGCAACUUUCAAUGUUUCAAUAAAAAAUAAAAGAAAGAGACUGCGAUUCAGUAAUUAUUGAUAUUCAUUGUAUGUUUUUUUCAGAAUACUUAUUAUAUUUAUUGUAAUAUACAUUUUUUUCCCCGAUCCAUGACUUUUGUGUCAGGACUAAGAACGUGAACAAA